CAUUAAUGAAACUUGAAUUCGUACUAUUGAGAACUGUUGCUGACCUGUUAAAGGGUACGUGCACGUUCAAAGUCUUACGCGUUCUGUUCUAAUCCACCUGUGCACCUUUGUAGACUUGGUUAAGCUUUGCUUUCGGGUUGCUUGCUUUCGAGCUAAGCUCCCUUUGUUUGUCUUACCAAGUCUAUGUCUAUAUAAACUUUUGUAUGUUUAGAAUGUCUUGUUUAUCGGACGCAAGUCCUUUAAAUCUUAUACAACUUUCAACAACGGAUCUCUUGGCUCUCGCAUCGAUGAAGAACGCAGCGAAAUGCGAUAACUAAUGUGAAUUGCAGAAUUCAGUGAAUCAUCGAGUCUUUGAACGCACCUUGCGCCCUUUGGUAUUCCAAAGGGCAUGCCUGUUUGAGUGUCAUUAAAUUCUCAACCUCGUCUUCUUUUAUUAGAAGUGCGGUGGAUUGGAUUAUGGGGGUUUGCUGGUCUCUAACGAGAUCAGCUCUUCUGAAAUGCAUUAGCAGAAACCGUUUGACUUUGGCUGCUAGGCUGUGAUAAUAUCUACGUCUUGGUAGUCGGGUUGGAAUACAAAGUGUUAGAGUGGUAAGGAAACUAUACUUAGGAUCGGUUUGGAGGGUUGCUUAACGGCUCCUUCUGCUUUCUCCGAUUGUAAGAGAGGAAAAGCUUAGUGCGAGCUUAGCUUUCUUUCCUUGAGGUUUUGUUAUCGUUUGACUUUGUAGAAGGAUUCAGCUUCUAACAGUCCAUUGACUUGGACAAAUUUAUUGACUUAUUUGACCUCAAAUCAGGUAGGACUACCCGCUGAACUU
rnacentral:rRNA from 1 species